GCCUGGGCCACUCUCUUCAUACCGGCUUGGAGACCCUCCUGAAUUCCUCCUGAAGCGCCCUCCAGAAACGCAGGGAGAACGCAGGGCUGGGGUCGCCAUCCCUCAUCUACCCACCACGUUUGCUCUUGACCCGGUUGCUUUGCUCCUUUGCUGGCAGGGCGGGAAGAGGCGAGCACCGCCCGAGACCCCCGAUCCUGCAAGAUAAGCCCACACAUCCAACCUUCUCCGGUGUGCAGAACCGCCAAAUGUGGCUUUGGUGGGAUAGGAACCCCAGCCAGUCAGGGACGCCUGAAGGUCACUGCGGACAUGGCUGGGCAGGGGCUCCUCGGAGACAGCCACAGCCCCGCCUCUAGGCCGCCCCUUCCCCGGCAACGGGAUUUCAACUCUGCUGCGGCUGCACUGCAGAAGAACCCGGUGGCCACAAGGUUGGCCUGGCAUCCCUGUACUUGUCCUGGGGGGCGGGCGGGGGCUUCUGUGAGGCAAUCAGCUUCGCAGAAGUCAGAGCAUAUGGGGACACCUAAGCUG
rnacentral:lncRNA from 1 species